rnacentral:hammerhead_ribozyme from 1 species
AUCAAGCUGACGAGUCCAAAGUAGGACGAAACGCACAUCCUACAU